GAUGAACGCUAGCGGCAGGCUUAACACAUGCAAGUCGAGGGGUAUAUGUCUUCGGAUAUAGAGACCGGCGCACGGGUGCGUAACGCGUAUGCAAUCUACCUUUUACAGGGGGAUAGCCCAGAGAAAUUUUGGAUUAAAUACCCCCAUAGUAUAGUGAGUUGGCAUCAACACACUAUUAAAGUCACAACGGUAAAAGAUGAGCAUGCGUCCCAUUAGCUAGUUGGUAAGGUAACGGCUUACCAAGGCUACGAUGGGUAGGGGUCCUGAGAGGGAGAUCCCCCACACUGGUACUGAGACACGGACCAGACUCCUACGGAGGCAGCAGUGAGGAAUAUUGGACAAUGGGCGCAAGCCUGAUCCAGCCAUGCCGCGUGCAGGAUGACGGUCCUAUGGAUUGUAAACUGCUUUUGACGAGAAGAAACACUGCUUCGUGAAGCAGCUUGACGGUAU
rnacentral:rRNA from 1 species